UGAGUGCGAGCUGCUACGGCAGCGAAGUUGGUGACGUCAUGCUUCCAAGAAAAGCCCUAUACCCGUUAAGGCAUCAUGGCCUGUACCCGAAACCGACACAGGUGGGGUGGUAGAGAAUACCGAGGGGCGCGAGGUAACUCUCUCUAAGGAACUCGGCAAAAUGGCCCCGUAACUUCGGGAGAAGGGGUGCCACCGCAAGGUGGUCGCAGUGAAGAGGCCCAGGCGACUGUUUACCAAAAACACAGGUCUCCGCUAAGUCGCAAGACGAUGUAUGGGGGCUGACGCCUGCCCAGUGCCGGAAGGUUAAGGAAGCUGGUCAGCGCAAGCGAAGCUAGCGACUGAAGCCUCGGUGAACGGCGGCCGUAACGAUAACGGUCCUAAGGUAGCGAAAUUCCUUGUCGGGUAAGUUCCGACCCGCACGAAAGGCGUAACGAUCUGGGCGCUGUCUCGGAGAGAGGCUCGGCGAAAUAGAAUUGUCUGUGAAGAUGCGGACUACGUGCACCCGGACAGAAAGACCCUAUGAAGCUUUACUGUAGCUUGGUAUUGUGCCCGGGCUCGCAAUGCGCAGGAUAGGUGGGAGGCUUUGAUCAUCGGCUUGCGGGUCGAUGUGAGCCAACGGUGAGAUACCACUCUUUGCGAGCUAGGGUUCUAACGGCCACCCGUCAUCCGGGGGCCGGACAGUACCUGGUGGGCAGUUUGACUGGGGCGGUCGCCUCCUAAAAGGUAACGGAGGCGCGCAAAGGUUUGCUCAGGCUGGUUGGAAAUCAGCCGACGAGUGUAAAAGCAGAAGCAAGCUUGACUGUGAGACCAACAAGUCGAACAGGGAGGAAACUCGGCUUUAGUGAUCCGACGGUUCUGAGUGGAAGGGCCGUCGCUCAACGGAUAAAAGUUACUCUAGGAUAACAGGCUGAUCUCCCCCAAGAGUUCACAUCGACGGGGAGGUUUGGCACCUCGAUGUCGGCUCAUCGCAACCUGGGGCUGAAGUCGGUCCCAAGGGUUGGGCUGUUCGCCCAUUAAAGCGGUACGCGAGCUGGGUUCAGAACGUCGUGAGACAGUUCGGUCCAUAUCCGGUGCACGCGCAGGAAUAUUGAGAGGAUUUCUCCCUAGUACGAGAGGACCGGGAGGAACGCACCUCUGGUGUACCAGUUAUCGUGCCAACGGUAAACGCUGGGUAGCCAUGUGCGGAGUGGAUAACCGCUGAAAGCAUCUAAGUGGGAAGCCCACCUCAAGAUGAGUAUUCCCAUGGCGUAAGCCAGUAAGGUCACGGGAAGAACACCCGUUGAUAGGCUCUAUGUGGAAGCGCAGUAAUGCGUGAAGCAGAGGAGUACUAAUAGACCGAGGGCUUGAC
rnacentral:rRNA from 1 species